rnacentral:lncRNA from 1 species
CCACUCCCGCGGCAUAUGGAGGUUCCCAGGCUAGGGGUCGAAUCGGAGCUGUACCCACCGGCCUACGCCAGAGCCACAGCAAUGCGGGAUCCGAGCCAUGUCUGCGACCUACACCACAGCUCACGGCAACGCCGGAUCCUUAACCCACUGAGCAAGGUCAGGGAUCGAACCCGAAACCUCAUGGUUCCUAGUUGGAUUCAUUAACCACCGUGCCAUGACGGGAACUCCUUGGUUAUGUUUUCUUGAUGAUAUGUUUCCUUUUUCUUUUUUUUUUUUUUUGUAGAAAACUUACUUUUUAAAUUAUAGUUGAUUUACAGCAUUGUGUCAGUUUCUGCUGUACAGCAUAGUGACUAGUCACACAAAUACUCUUUUUCUUAGACUAUCUUCCACCACGGUCUAGCCCAAGAGACUGGCUAUAGUUCCCUGUGCUGUACAGUAGGAUCUGAUUGCUUAUCCAUUCCAAAUGUGACAGUUUCCAUCUAUUAACCCCAAACUCCAGUCCAUCCCUCUCCCUCCCUCUUGGCAAACACAACUCUGUUCUCCAUGUCUGUGAGUAUGUUUUUGUGCUGUAGAGAGGUUCAUUUGUGCCAUAUUUUAGAUUCCAGAUGUAAAUGAUAUCAUAUGGUCUUUGUCUUUCUGUCUUACUUCACUUAGUAUGAGACUCUCUAGUUGCAUCCAUGUUGGUGCAAAUGGCAUUCUUUUCUUCUUUUUUAUGGCUGAGUAGUAUUCCAUUGUGCGCACGCACACACACACACACACACACACACACACACACACACACACACACACACGUCUUCUUAAUCAAUUCAUUUGUUGAUGGACAUUUAGGCUGUUUCCAUGUCUUGGCUAUUGUGAAUAGUGUUGCAGUGAACAUAGGGGUGCAUGUAUCUUUUUGAAUUGUAGUUUCAUCCAGGUAUAUGCCCAGGGAAAAAGGGAAAGAUGAAGGAGCAGAGGCCUAAUUAUAAAAUAUCUCUGUCCCUAAACUACUCCCCCAGUCUUUCCCUAAGAAUGAGGUUUUUUUGUUUUUUUUUGUUUUUGUUUUUGUUUUUUUUUUUUCCUUUUUCUGACUUCAUGAAAAGGAGUCCUUUUCUCUUUGGCCAAAUGAAUGAGAAUAUCUCUCUUUUGAUUUGAUAGGAGAUACUUGCCAUGAAUGAGGCUUUUUUUUCCCCUUUUUUCCCGCAAGGGUGUCUAAAAUCUUGUUUUUAUUCUGUAGAAAAACAAGUCCAGUUUUACUUACAUACUUUAGAAGUUUCACCUCAGUGCGUCUAUUAAGUUAAUUUUAUAGGUCAGAAUUUGGUGUCCUCGUUCUCACCUCUAAAUCAAUUUCCAGUUAUCCACUGGCAUUCAGUAUUAGUCAAAUAAGUAAACAAAUCAAUAAGUAUUCACUGUUUCUUUUCCCUUUUUAUUUAUUUAUUUUGCUUUUUUGCUUUUGUGGGGCCACACCUGUGGCAUAUGGAAGUUCCCAGGCUAGGGAUCUAAUCAGAGCUGCAACUGCUAGCCUCUACCGUAAUCACAGCAACGUGGUGUCUGAACCACGUCUGCUGCCCCCACCACAGCUCACAGCAGUGCCGGCUUAACCCACUGAGGGAGGCCAGGGAUGGAACCUCUGUCCUCAUGGAAAUUAGUCAGGUUCGUAAUCUGCUGAGCCACAGUGGAAACUCCGCACUGUUUCCUUAAGUGAUGUUGUGGAGUCACUGGAUAAUGGGACCCUUUUUAAACAGCAAUUGGGUUAAACUUUGAGAAACUGAAAACCAUAUUAUUUGGAGUUGGAAUGUAUAUUAUAAUGAAUAUUUGUUGAACAAAUGUGAAUGAAACUGGAUUCUGUCUACUGUUUUACCAGUGAGGAAACAAAAGGGGAUAACUGCUUCUCUAAAGGCUCUAUAUCUAGUUAGGCUGUUACUAGAACUCAUUUUUGGAAUAUUUUUAAUAGAGAACAUUGCAAACAUUUACCAAAGUAGAGGAGGUAGAAUAAUGAAUUUUUGUUCCCAUCAGUAUCUUCAAGCUCUUUCUAGCCAUCCCUUCAAUAUUGUUUCAUCAACACCUGCCUCUACCCUCAGGUGUCCUCAGAUUAUUUUUAUGCAACUCCCAGAAAUAUUAUCAUUUCACUUAUAACCAUCUUAGUGUUCUAAAUGUCGGAGACAAAAUAUCCUUAGCACCAUUAAUUAAUAAUUCCUUAAUAUCUUUUGAUGUCCAGCCAGUGUUCACAUUUUCUUGUUUAUCUUAGACAUUUUUUUAAUACUUUGGACAGGAAUUUAGUUCAGAUUCAUCCAUACAUUGCAAUUAGUUUUCUCUCUUAAGUAUCUUAUAAUCUACACGUUCUCUCUCCCUGACCCCUCCCCCCACCUCCCUUUGUAUUUUUUUUUUUUUCAGUUUUUGUAGCUGAAGCUGGAUCAUUUGUCCCGUUUUCCUGAGUUCCAAUUUUGCUGGUUGCUUAGAAUACAACUUUCUAACAGAAAAAUUGUCAUUUAGAGCUAUUUAACAACCACCACAAAAAAAAAAACCCUUUCACCUUGGGGUGAAAGACACAUAUGUAUUGAAAAAUGUUUCUAUAAUGUAUACUUCUAAAGUUUGAAAAGUUGUGCCAUCAUAUUUACUUCUAUUUGAAAAAAAAUUCAAAAAUAGCAUCUCAAGUUUUACCACAGGAUCCCUUGAAUGACAUUAUUAAUUUUCUAAUGUGUUUGUUUCUCCUUGAUACUUGGAUUAAAACCAACUUUUAAUUAAUGCAGGAAAAAAAUACAAAUCAGAACUGCAACAGGAACUUUCAUAAUGCCUAAGUGUUUCUUAACUGAUUAGAGCAAAUCCAAAGUAGUUAUAUUAAUUUUUAUAAUUAUUCAGUUUUUCCCCCAAAAUUAACCAUUCAGGAUAUGAGCCAAAUGGAUAUGAAAGUUCUAGGUCUUCUAAGAACUUAUAUAAUAAAACUCUCAGUGAGGCUAGUUGGUGACAUUUCUGGGCACAGGAGCAUUAUCAUUUGAAUUUUCUGGUUUAUGUAACCCACGGAGCUUCAGGUUUUAUCUCUGUAGGCUUCUGAGGCUACUUAUAGGGGUUUGUAAUGGUAAGUUGGAGUCAACUCAUGAAUUUUCACUUUACUGCAUGAAAACAAAGAAACCAAAAUAUGUAUUAAAGGCGUAUGGAAUUUAAACUACCAAUCACACAUAGCUAGAAUUAGCUGAUCCAUCUAAAUUAUCAUAAUAUCUGAAUAAUCGGUGUCACUGAAAAUUUCUCUAAAAACAAAUCUCUCCCUCAUUAGAGAUUUCUAGUCUUCAUUUGCUCCUUUGCUGACCUGACUUUCCUCUGGGUACUUUAAUUUCCGCAGCUGUGAAAACACUGGCAUCUUAAACAGAGCUGCCAAAGAGCCAUGCAGGAAGCCCAAAUUUGAUUUCUUUUCAUUAGAAAGACUUAGGAGGGGAGUUCCCAUCGCGGCACAGCAGAAACGAAUCCAUCUAGGAACCAUGAGGUUGGGGCCUCGCUCAGUGGGUUAAGGAUCCAGCGUUGUCGUGAGCUGUCGUGUAGGUUGCAGACGUGGCUGGGAUCCUGCAUUGCUGUGACUUUGGUGUAGGCUGGCAGCUGUAGCUCUGAUUAGACCCCUCGCCUGCGAACCUC